rnacentral:misc_RNA from 1 species
AAGUCGUAACAAGGUUUCCGUAGGUGAACCUGCGGAAGGAUCAUUUCCAAAAAGUGCUAUCGAAUAUAUACACCGAAUGGUGUGUGAAAAGUUGAACAGUCUCUAAUUACUCUCGAAGAAAGUGCAAGGGUGGAUAUACAAUGUCUCAAGGGACGCUGGAUAUACACACUAAAGCUCUCUGAGAGAGGCCUUGAUGAACCCACAUCUUUGAAGGUGAAGCUAUGAGUCAAAUACUCUCUCUUCGUGAGACUGUAUUUUUCCAUCUCCAGCCUAAGAAGACGUUAACAAAAGAUAAAGGUAUAUUUUUUCUCCAAACGUAUAGAUAUGUUGGCACGAAGCGACAUAUGUAUACCACAAAGUACAAAAAAUAUAUUGACAACUUUUAACGGUGGAUCUCUUGGCUCGU